CCAAUAGCGUAUAUUAAAGUUGUUGCAGUUAAAAAGCUCGUAGUUGAAUUUCGGGAUUGACACAUCGGUCGUGCCUUAAGGGGUAUGAACUGGUGUAGUCAAUUUCUCACCUUCUGGAGAACCGCGAUGUCCUUAAUUGGGUGCCGCGAGGAACCAGGACCUUUACUUUGAAAAAAUUAGAGUGUUUAAAGCAGGCAUUUUUGCUUGAAUACAUUAGCAUGGAAUAAUAAAAUAGGACGGCAUUAUUCUAUUUUGUUGGUUUUUAGGAUCACCGUAAUGAUUAAUAGGGAUAGUUGGGGGCAUUAGUAUUCAAUUGUCAGAGGUGAAAUUCUUGGAUUUAUUGAAGACUAACUACUGCGAAAGCAUUUGCCAAGGAUGUUUUCAUUAAUCAAGAACGAAAGUUAGGGGAUCGAAGACGAUCAGAUACCGUCGUAGUCUUAACCAUAAACUAUGCCGACUAGGAAUCAGACGAUGUUAAUUUUUUAAUGACUCGUUUGGCACCUUACG
rnacentral:misc_RNA from 1 species